UACGAAGGGGGGCUAGCGUUGCUCGGAAUCACUGGGCGUAAAGCGCACGUAGGCGGCUUUCUAAGUCAGGGGUGAAAUCCUGGAGCUCAACUCCAGAACUGCCUUUGAUACUGGAGAGCUUGAGUCCGGAAGAGGUGAGUGGAACUCCGAGUGUAGAGGUGAAAUUCGUAGAUAUUCGGAAGAACACCAGUGGCGAAGGCGGCUCACUGGUCCGGUACUGACGCUGAUGUGCGAAAGCGUGGGGAGCAAACAG
rnacentral:rRNA from 1 species